AUGAGCCUAAAGUUUCCUGACAUGAUAAGAGCUCUUGUGUCCUUUUGCGAGAAAAUUCAAGACAAUAUACUUUACAUGGAUGUAUGUGCUCUUUUACAUAAUUCACAACUAUCAUCAUUCUUGGAGCAAGUGUACCGCUACCCAGAGGACGUUUCCCCUUUGUGUUCUAAUACUACAGAUCUACAUAUAUGUAGCCGGCCGGUAGCUUACGGUUUCACUAGUGCUCACAAAGCAAUUAUAUUUGCUCGGCGCGCCACCGUGUCCUCCUAUGACAGCACAGGCUCGCAGCAGGGAGCAGACGUGGCCCCAUGCUGCGCCACCCCGACGCUGGUCGCCGCCUUGGCAGCAUCCUUCGCCUGCUGCUUCCUCUCCGUCCUUGUCUUUCUCUGCCUGCGCUUCAUCCACCUUCGCCGCACGUGGACGCCGCGCCACAGCGCGCAGCCCCUGCAAGGUGAGGGACAGGCCCAGCAGCAGCCCAAGCUCGGCCUCGACGCCGCCACCAUCGCGCUCAUCCCGUCCUUCCCUUACCUGCGGGAGAGCUCGGACUGGGCGCCGGCCGAGUGCGCCGUGUGCCUCGGCGCCCUCGACGAAGGGGAGACGGUGAGGCAGCUCCCGGCCUGCAAACAUCCUGCCCUGCUGCUCUGUUUAUUUGGUCCACUAACAAGCCUCAAGUACCCGCCGUCGGCGGGCGCUAUUGCGCACCGCCUUGUCGCCCCCUUCCCCACCGUCGUUGCUAGCCACCACCCCGGACAUACCUCUAAGCCCGGCACCAUCCAUGAAAACCUCCGGUGA
rnacentral:rRNA from 1 species